rnacentral:lncRNA from 1 species
GGUAAUGUUAUACCUGAUUUUUUAGGGUAUGAUAAAAUUAUAUUUAAAAAAGUUAAUUUUUAUAGCAGAAUAUGCUGGACAGUGAUCUUUCUUGAUAUGUCUGUAAUGUCACUGCCCACAAAAAAAAAAAAAAAAAAAAUCCAAAAUGAAAUUAUAUUUUUUUUAGAAACCAUUCAGUAGCAGUAUUGCAUAGCUGCCUCUACUUGUGUGAUUGUCCUGGACAAAGUUUUGUCUUCCCAGAUUGUCUGUUUUAACCUUUCAACCUCUUUGUGCAGCUCUUUUUUUUUUUUUUUUUUUUUAAUAGUGUUGCAGUUCCCAUCUGAAAUGUGUCGAUCACCAGACACCUUGUGCUAAAGGAAUUCACUGAUCAUAUAUGUACAGUAAAUGGCACGAUUUGGUGUUUAUUCACAAAUGGAACCAGAAGUCCAGAAAAGAGGAACAGAGAGACAUUUUAACCAAUAGUACUUCAAUACAGCUGAGAAAUACAAAAAUGGAAGUUGGCAUUGCUGUGUGCUGCAAACUAGAUCAAUGGAUCAAUAAGUUGUGUAAGAGAAGUGGUUUCACUUCCAAAAGAACAAGCAGGACAUAGAAUAGUUUAGAAAUGUUUGCGUGGUGGAGUGCAUGCUUUCAACAAAGGAAUACCUAUGUUUUUUGUUUGUUUCUUUUCAGGGAAAACCAAAACAAACAAAAAACAACAAAAAGACACAAUAAAAACAACCAACCAAACA